rnacentral:lncRNA from 1 species
AUGUUGCAGGAUAUUUGGUCACAUUGUGUAUCCCUAUUUGAUCACAUUGUGUAUCUCUCUGAUGCCAUGUGUUUGAGAGUCAUGAUGUUGACUGGUGGUUCGAUGGUCCUUAUCCUGCUGAAACCCAAGCAGGGUCCAAGACAUCUGCAGAGUUCUAUCUCUGAGACUAGAGCUACACAAACCAUCCUUGACCUAUGAGCAGAUUUAGCUCUUUUAUAUAUCUCCCAUCUUAAAGAUGUGUUUAACUUUGGUAAAUGGAAUAACUAGUUGGCUGGCUACUCAUUGCAAGUGUAGCAAGAACUGCAUGCUUCUCAGCAUUA